rnacentral:tRNA from 1 species
CUGGCGUGUAGGCGAAACCGGCGGUCUGGAAGUCCGCGAUGAGGUCGCGGUUUGGAUCCACGGCGCCAGC